rnacentral:rRNA from 1 species
GACGAACGCUGGCGGCGUGCUUAACACAUGCAAGUCGAACGGAAAGGCCCUGCUUUUGUGGGGUGCUCGAGUGGCGAACGGGUGAGUAACACGUGAGUAACCUGCCCUUGACUUUGUGAUAACUUCAGGAAACUGGGGCUAAUACCGGAUAGGAUCUCCUGCUGCAUGGUGGUGGUUGGAAAGUUUCGGCGGUUGGGGAUGGACUCGCGGGUUAUCAGCUUGUUGGUGUGGUAGUGGCUUACCAAGGCUUUGACGGGUAGCCGGCCUGAGAGGGUGAACGGCGACAUUGGGACUGAGAUACGGCCCAGACUCCUACGGGAGGCAGCAGUGGGGAAUAUUGCACAAUGGGCGGAAGCCUGAUGCAGCAACGCCGCGUGCGGGAUGACGGCCUUCGGGUUGUAAACCGCUUUCGCCUGUGACGAAGCGUGAGUGACGGUAAUGGGUAAAGAAGCACCGGCUAACUACGUG